GGGGUUGUGGCUCAGCAGUAGAGCGCUCGUAUGGCACAUGAGAGGUGCUAGGUUCGAUCCUCAGCACCACA
rnacentral:tRNA from 1 species